AAAAACGAAAAAAAAA
rnacentral:sRNA from 1 species